rnacentral:rRNA from 2 species
GACGGAGGAUGCAAGCGUUAUCCGGAAUGAUUGGGCGUAAAGCGUCCGCAGGUGGCAGUUCAAGUCUGCUGUCAAAGACCGGGGCUCAACCUCGGAAAGGCAGUGGAAACUGAACAGCUAGAGUAUGGUAGGGGCAAAGGGAAUUCCUGGUGUAGCGGUGAAAUGCGUAGAGAUCAGGAAGAACAUCGGUGGCGAAGGCGCUUUGCUGGACCAUAACUGACACUCAGGGACGAAAGCUAGGGGAGCGAAUGGG